GCCUAAUCAUGCAAGUCGAGCGAACAGAUAAGGAGCUUGCUCCUUUGACGUUAGCGGCGGACGGGUGAGUAACACGUGGGUAACCUACCUAUAAGACUGGGAUAACUUCGGGAAACCGGAGCUAAUACCGGAUAACAUUUGGAACCGCAUGGUUCUAAAGUGAAAGAUGGUUUUGCUAUCACUUAUAGAUGGACCCGCGCCGUAUUAGCUAGUUGGUAAGGUAACGGCUUACCAAGGCGACGAUACGUAGCCGACCUGAGAGGGUGAUCGGCCACACUGGAACUGAGACACGGUCCAGACUCCUACGGGAGGCAGCAGUAGGGAAUCUUCCGCAAUGGGCGAAAGCCUGACGGAGCAACGCCGCGUGAGUGAUGAAGGGUUUCGGCUCGUAAAACUCUGUUAUUAGGGAAGAACAAACGUGUAAGUAACUGUGCACGUCUUGACGGUACCUAAUCAGAAAGCCACGGCUAACUACGUGCCAGCAGCCGCGGUAAUACGUAGGUGGCAAGCGUUAUCCGGAAUUAUUGGGCGUAAAGCGCGCGUAGGCGGUUUCUUAAGUCUGAUGUGAAAGCCCACGGCUCAACCGUGGAGGGUCAUUGGAAACUGGGAAACUUGAGUGCAGAAGAGGAAAGUGGAAUUCCAUGUGUAGCGGUGAAAUGCGCAGAGAUAUGGAGGAACACCAGUGGCGAAGGCGACUUUCUGGUCUGUAACUGACGCUGAUGUGCGAAAGCGUGGGGAUCAAACAGGAUUAGAUACCCUGGUAGUCCACGCCGUAAACGAUGAGUGCUAAGUGUUAGGGGGUUUCCGCCCCUUAGUGCUGCAGCUAACGCAUUAAGCACUCCGCCUGGGGAGUACGACCGCAAGGUUGAAACUCAAAGGAAUUGACGGGGACCCGCACAAGCGGUGGAGCAUGUGGUUUAAUUCGAAGCAACGCGAAGAACCUUACCAAAUCUUGACAUCCUUUGAAAACUCUAGAGAUAGAGCCUUCCCCUUCGGGGGACAAAGUGACAGGUGGUGCAUGGUUGUCGUCAGCUCGUGUCGUGAGAUGUUGGGUUAAGUCCCGCAACGAGCGCAACCCUUAAGCUUAGUUGCCAUCAUUAAGUUGGGCACUCUAGGUUGACUGCCGGUGACAAACCGGAGGAAGGUGGGGAUGACGUCAAAUCAUCAUGCCCCUUAUGAUUUGGGCUACACACGUGCUACAAUGGACAAUACAAAGGGCAGCUAAACCGCGAGGUCAUGCAAAUCCCAUAAAGUUGUUCUCAGUUCGGAUUGUAGUCUGCAACUCGACUACAUGAAGCUGGAAUCGCUAGUAAUCGUAGAUCAGCAUGCUACGGUGAAUACGUUCCCGGGUCUUGUACACACCGCCCGUCACACCACGAGAGUUUGUAACACCCGAAGCCGGUGGAGUAACCAUUUAUGGAGCUAGCCGUCGAAAGGGUGGGAC
rnacentral:rRNA from 1 species